rnacentral:rRNA from 1 species
UACGUAGGUGGCGAGCGUUGUCCGGAUUUACUGGGCGUAAAGGGCGUGCAGGCGGUUUGUUAAGUGCAGGGUGAAAGCUCCCGGCUCAACUGGGAGAGGUCCUUGCAUACUGGCGAACUCGAGGGAGGCAGAGGAAAGUGGAAUUCCCGGUGUAGUGGUGAUAUGCGUAGAUAUCGGGAGGAACACCUGUGGCGAAGGCGGCUUCCUGGCCUGCUCUUGACGCUGAGGCGCGAAAGCUAGGGUAGCAAACGGG